AGAGUUUGAUCCUGGCUCAGGAUGAACGCUAGCUACAGGCUUAACACAUGCAAGUCGAGGGGAAACGACAUCGAAAGCUUGCUUUUGAUGGGCGUCGACCGGCGCACGGGUGAGUAACGCGUAUCCAACCUGCCCACCACUUGGGGAUAACCUUGCGAAAGUAAGACUAAUACCCAAUGACGUCUCUAGAAGACAUCUGAAAGAGAUUAAAGAUUUAUCGGUGAUGGAUGGGGAUGCGUCUGAUUAGCUUGUUGGCGGGGUAACGGCCCACCAAGGCUACGAUCAGUAGGGGUUCUGAGAGGAAGGUCCCCCACAUUGGAACUGAGACACGGUCCAAACUCCUACGGGAGGCAGCAGUGAGGAAUAUUGGUCAAUGGACGAGAGUCUGAACCAGCCAAGUAGCGUGCAGGAUGACGGCCCUAUGGGUUGUAAACUGCUUUUAUAAGGGAAUAAAGUGAGUCUCGUGAGGCUUUUUGCAUGUACCUUAUGAAUAAGGACCGGCUAAUUCCGUGCCAGCAGCCGCGGUAAUACGGAAGGUCCGGGCGUUAUCCGGAUUUAUUGGGUUUAAAGGGAGCGUAGGCCGGAGAUUAAGCGUGUUGUGAAAUGUAGACGCUCAACGUCUGCACUGCAGCGCGAACUGGUUUCCUUGAGUACGCACAAAGUGGGCGGAAUUCGUGGUGUAGCGGUGAAAUGCUUAGAUAUCACGAAGAACUCCGAUUGCGAAGGCAGCUCACUGGAGCGCAACUGACGCUGAAGCUCGAAAGUGCGGGUAUCGAACAGGAUUAGAUACCCUGGUAGUCCGCACGGUAAACGAUGGAUGCCCGCUGUUGGCCUGAAUAGGU
rnacentral:rRNA from 1 species